GGGCACUAACCACAUUGGCUUUUUCCAACUUUUGCUUCUGUGUUACCUUAAGCAAUUGUCUAUGUCUUCUGCUUCUUCUGUUCCCUCUUCUUUCAACUCCAAAAUGGGAGUGGAAAUGGAAUCAUACUUUGAAUUUCUUGUUAUUAUUUGAUACCCCUUUAACCCCUUUUCUUUCUUUUUAUCUUAUUUCCUUCCAAAAACAUGACUUUCUUGUUCUUUUCUGUUGAGUUUCUUU
rnacentral:misc_RNA from 1 species